GGCCCCAUCGUCUAGUGGUCAAGGACACCGCCCUUUCAAGGCGGAGAUCGCGGGUUCGAAUCCCGCUGGGGUCACCA
rnacentral:tRNA from 1 species